GCCGGGCGCGGUGGCGGGCGCCUGUAGUCCCAGCUACUCGGGAGGCUGAGGCAGGAGAAUGGCAUGAACCCGGGAGGCGGAGCUUGCAGUGAGCCGAGAUCUGGCCACUGCACUCCAGCCUGGGUGACAGAGCAAGACUCUGUCUCAA
rnacentral:SRP_RNA from 1 species